rnacentral:ncRNA from 2 species
AAUAGCGCCUCUUUUCAAGGUGCUGCUUAUUUUUGCUGAAGUUAUAUAAAAAUAAAUGCAGAGAAUCGGGAAGUUUGGAAAUGGCAUCCUCUUGGUUGCCAAAGCCAGCACUGCCCCCGCAACGGUAUGAAAGUCAAACUAUGUUGUUAGUAGUUUUACUUUUGAGUCCGGAGACCGGCCUUGAAGUCGUCUUACUU